rnacentral:rRNA from 1 species
AGAGUUUGAUCCUGGCUCAGGACGAACGCUGGCAGCGUGCCUAAUACAUGCAAGUCGAACGAACUCUGGUAUUGAUUGGUGCUUGCAUCAUGAUUUACAUUUGAGUGAGUGGCGAACUGGUGAGUAACACGUGGGAAACCUGCCCAGAAGAGGGGGAUAACACCUGGAAACAGAUGCUAAUACCGCAUAACAACUUGGACCGCAUGGUCCGAGUUUGAAAGAUGGCUUCGGCUAUCACUUUUGGAUGGUCCCGCGGCGUAUUAGCUAGAUGGUGAGGUAACGGCUCACCAUGGCAAUGAUACGUAGCCGACCUGAGAGGGUAAUCGGCCACGUUGGGACUGAGACACGGCCCAAACUCCUACGGGAGGCAGCAGUAGGGAAUCUUCCACAAUGGACGAAAGUCUGAUGGAGCAACGCCGCGUGAGUGAAGAAGGGUUUCGGCUCGUAAAACUCUGUUGUUAAAGAAGAACAUAUCUGAGAGUAACUGUUCAGGUAUUGACGGUAUUUAACCAGAAAGCCACGGCUAACUACGUGCCAGCAGCCGCGGUAAUACGUAGGUGGCAAGCGUUGUCCGGAUUUAUUGGGCGUAAAGCGAGCGCAGGCGGUUUUUUAAGUCUGAUGUGAAAGCCUUCGGCUCAACCGAAGAAGUGCAUCGGAAACUGGGAAACUUGAGUGCAGAAGAGGACAGUGGAACUCCAUGUGUAGCGGUGAAAUGCGUAGAUAUAUGGAAGAACACCAGUGGCGAAGGCGGCUGUCUGGUCUGUAACUGACGCUGAGGCUCGAAAGUAUGGGUAGCAAACAGGAUUAGAUACCCUGGUAGUCCAUACCGUAAACGAUGAAUGCUAAGUGUUGGAGGGUUUCCGCCCUUCAGUGCUGCAGCU